rnacentral:rRNA from 1 species
AUUGAACGCUGGCGGCAUGCCUUACACAUGCAAGUCGAACGGCAGCACGGGUGCUUGCACCUGGUGGCGAGUGGCGAACGGGUGAGUAAUAUAUCGGAACGUACCUUAUUGUGGGGGAUAACGCAGCGAAAGCUGUGCUAAUACCGCAUAAUCCCUAAGGGGGAAAGCGGGGGACCGUAAGGCCUCGCGCAAUUGGAGCGGCCGAUACCUGAUUAGCUAGUUGGUGAGGUAAAGGCUCACCAAGGCAACGAUCAGUAGCUGGUCUGAGAGGGCGGUCAGCCACACGGGGACGGAGACACGGCCCAGACUCCUACGGGAGGCAGCAGUGGGGAAUUUUGGACAAUGGGGGCAACCCUGAUCCAGCAAUGCCGCGUGAGUGAAGAAGGCCUUCGGGUUGUAAAGCUCUUUUGUCAGGGAAGAAACAGCAGCUCUAACACAGUUUGCGAAUGACGGUACCUGAAGAAUAAGCACCGGCUAACUACGUGCCAGCCGCCGCAUAA